CUCUCCGGCCGGGGAGGGGCUUGCUAUCGUAACCUGGUAGAGCGGUCGGCUGUUAACUGACUGGUCGUAGGUUCAAAUCCUACUUGGGGAGA
rnacentral:tRNA from 1 species